UGGGAAAGGAUGUGAGAUUUCUAAGACAACUAGGAUGUUGGCUUAGAAGCAGCCAUUCAUUAAAAGAGUGCGUAAUAGCUCACUAGUCGAGAGAUCUUGCGCCGAAAAUGUAACGGGGCUAAACUUACCACCGAAGCUACGGGCUUGAACUUAGUUCAAGCGGUAGGAGAGCGUCGUAACCGGGCUGAAGUCGUACCGUAAGGAGCGGUGGACUGGUUACGAGUGAGAAUGUUGGCAUCAGUAGCGAGAUGUGGGUGAGAAUCCCACAGGCCGAAAACCUAAGGUUUCCUCAGGAAGGUUCGUCCGCUGAGGGUUAGUCGGGACCUAAGCCGAGGCCGAAAGGCGUAGGUGAUGGACAACUGGUUGAUAUUCCAGUACCACUACCAUCGUUAUUAUCGAUGGCGUGACGCAGGAGGAUAGUGUGUGCUAGCUAUUGGAUGCUAGUCUAAGCGUUUAGGCAGUGAGAGUAGGCAAAUCCGCUCUCAUAAUGCUGAGGCGUGAUGGG
rnacentral:rRNA from 1 species